UACCGGAAGAAGAGCCACUAACAACCUGAUCUCUACUGCUUGAUGUUUUUGCCCUCUGCUGCUGGCUUUGCUGCAACUUGUUCAUAUGACAAAGGCAAAUAGUAGAUCCGGGGAGUUGCUUUGGUUUUCCGAAACAAAUCAUCUAGAGUGACAAUAGGAGGAUCUAUUUUCUUGGGAGGUGGAG